UCUCUUUUUGGAAUUCAAUAAUUAAAUAAACCUUGGAAUAUUUUAGAAAAUUUUAAAUCCUUAUUUAAUUUAGUAUUUUCCAAUAACAAUCCAAAAUUAAAAAAUUUUUGGAGUGUUAUAGAUCUACCCCACUUAAACUAAAUCUCGUCCUGAGAUUUGAAGAAACUAAAGAGAAAGAUUAAGUAGAUCAUCAAGUUGUUUCGAGACUUUCAAGACAUGAUCAAAGGAUUAAAUAUAGAUAUAAAGGGCAAAAAGUAUGAUAAAAAUCGAUGACAUGGAAAGAUAAACGUAUGAGAUAGGAAUUGAUCUUCAGAUCUUGUAGUAUGAUAAGGUGCAAGGGCAAGAAGCUAGUAUUAACAAGAGAUGACUCAUAGGAGAUAAAGAUUAUAGUGCUCACAAUUUCCUUGAUUCCAGAUUUGUAUGAGAUAGUAGACAAAAGGAUAAAUGAAUGACAAAAGUUGACAAAGAUUUAGAUAGCCUCACGCUUAAUUAUUUGUAGUCCUAUGAGAUGUAAGAUCCAAGAUCGCACGUUGACAAAAAUGAUAAGGGCUCAUCGCAAGAACGAUAAGGAUCAAUCUAUAGUUCUUCAUAUCUUUCUGAUUAGAGAUUUUUGAGAGUGA
rnacentral:lncRNA from 1 species